rnacentral:sRNA from 1 species
CAAAAACAAACGGUGACGGCGCCGCGGAAGGGUCUAUGGCCGAGGCGGUGAAGCCCCAGCGCCGGGCCAAGGCCAAGGCCAGCCGGACUAAAACAAAGGAAAAGAAGAAAUAUGAAACCCCUCAGAGGGAAGAGUCCAGUGAAGUGUCCCUUCCAAAAACCUUCAGAGAGCAGGAAAUCCCUUCUCUAGCCUGUGAAUUCAAAGGAGACCAUCUGAAGGUGGUAACUGAUUCCCAACUCCAGGAUGAUGCCAGUGGACAAAAUGAGAGUGAAAUGUUUGAUGUACCACUCACCUCCUUAACUAUAAGCAGUGAAGAGUCCCUGACGCGUAACACAGAGCCCCCAAAGGAAGGGGGAGAGGCCAGACCCUGUGUGGGGGACAGUGCAGUCACACCAAAGGUCCACCCUGGAGACAAUGUUGGAACUAAAGUAGAAACCCCCAAGAACUUCACAGAGGUAGAGGAAAAUAUGUCAGUACAAGGUGGACUUUCAGAAAGUGCACCCCAAUCUAAUUUUUCUUAUACUCAGCCAGCAAUGGAAAAUAUACAAGUCAGAGAAACUCAGAAUAGUAAAGAAGACAAACAAGGCCUGGUUUGUUCUUCAGAGGUGCCACAGAAUGUUGGCUUGCAGAGUUCUUGCGCAGCCAAACAUGGUUUUCAGACACCUAGAGUGAAGAAACUGUAUCCCCAGUUGCCAGCUGAAAUUGCCGGAGAAGCACCAGCUUUGGUGGCAGUGAAACCCUUGCUUCGUAGUGAGCGACUCUACCCAGAACUGCCGUCUCAACCGGAACUAGUACCAUUUACUAAAGAACAGCUAAAAAUCUUGGAGCCUGGUUCAUGGCUGGAAAAUGUCGAAUCAUAUUUAGAAGAAUUUGACAGCAUGGCUCAUCAAGACAGGCAUGAAUUUUAUGAGUUGCUUUUGAACUACUCACGAUGUAGGAAGCAACUGCUGCUGGCUGAAGCUGAGCUGCUUACUCUGACGUCUGAUUGCCAAAAUGCUAAAAGUCGGCUGUGGCAGUUUAAGGAGGAACAAAUGUCUGUACAGGGUAUCUGUGCAGAUCAAGUGAAAGUUUCCAGCUAUCAUCGCUACCAAAGGGUAGAAAUGAAUGAAAAUGCACUGGUGGAGCUAAAGAAGCUAUUCGAUGCCAAAUCUGAGCACCUCCACCAGACCCUGGCCCUUCAUUCUUAUACUUCCGUGCUCUCAAGAUUGCAAGUGGAGUCUUACAUCUAUGCAUUGCUCAGUAGUUCAGCUGUUCUGAGAUCUUUAGCAAUUCACCAGCAAGGCCGAGCAUCUAAGCAGACAGAAAGCAUUCCCUCUGAUCUGUGUCAACUAAAGGAAUGCAUUAGUGUCUUAUUCAUGUUCACCAGGAGAGUUAAUGAAGAUACUCAGUUUCAUGAUGAUAUUCUUCUCUGGCUGCAGAAAUUGGUAUCCGUGCUACAAAGAGUUGGCUGUCCUGGAGAUCACCUCUUCCUUCUAAACCAUAUUCUUCGAUGCCCUGCUGGUGUUAGUAAAUGGGCUGUUCCUUUCAUCCAGAUCAAAGUGUUGCAUAACCCAUCAGGGGUCUUUCAUUUUAUGCAAUCCCUUGCCCUGCUGAUGUCUCCUGUCAAAAAUCGAGCUGAGUUUAUGUGCCACAUGAAGCCCAGCGAGCGGAAGCCGUCCUCCUCAGGGCCUGGGUCCGGGACCUGGACGCUAGUAGACGAAGGAGGAGAAGAGGAUGAAGACCCUGAGACCAGUUGGAUUCUCCUUAAUGAAGAUGAUUUGGUUACCCUUUUAGCACAGUUCCCCUUUCAUGAACUCUUUCAACAUCUUCUUGGGUUUAAAGCAAAAGGUGAUUAUUUACCUGAAACAACAAGACCUCAAGAGAUGAUGAAAAUUUUUGCCUUUGCCAACUCACUAGUGGAACUUCUGGCUGUGGGGUUAGAAACCUUUAAUAGAGCACGCUAUAGGCAGUUUGUGAAGCGAAUUGGUUAUAUGAUCAGGAUGACCCUUGGUUAUGUAAGUGACCAUUGGGCACAGUAUGUGAGCCACAACCAAGGCUCAGGAUUGGCCCAACAGCCCUACUCUAUGGAGAAACUACAGGUUGAAUUUGAUGAGCUGUUUUUGAGGGCUGUCCUACAUGUGCUGAAGGCCAAAAGACUUGGCAUUUGGCUGUUUAUGUCUGAGAUGCCCUUUGGGACUCUGUCUGUGCAAAUGCUGUGGAAGCUCUUCUACCUCAUGCACCAGGUGGAGAGUGAGAACCUGCAGCAGCUCUCCUCCUCCCUGCAGCCCGCCCAGUGCAAGCAGCAGCUCCAAGACCCAGAACAUUUUACCAACUUUGAGAAGUGUCUUUCUUCUAUGAAUAGCUCAGAAGAGAUUUGCCUUCUGACUACCUUUGCUCAGAUGGCUCAGGCCAGAAGAACCAAUGUGGACGAAGACUUCAUAAAAAUUAUCGUUCUGGAGAUAUAUGAGGUAUCUUAUGUCACCCUGUCUACCAGAGAGACUUUUUCAAAGGUUGGUCGAGAGCUUUUAGGGACUAUCACAGCUGUUCACCCUGAGAUAAUUUCUGUCCUUCUGGAUAGAGUUCAAGAGACCAUUGACCAGGUUGGAAUGGUUUCUCUGUACUUGUUUAAAGAACUGCCUUUGUAUCUUUGGCAACCUUCUGCAUCUGAGAUAGCGGUGAUUCGGGAUUGGUUAUUGAAUUACAACCUGACAGUGGUGAAGAAUAAACUGGCCUGUGUUAUUCUUGAAGGACUGAAUUGGGGAUUUGCCAAACAGGCUACCCUUCAUCUGGAUCAAGCAGUCCAUGCUGAAGUGGCUUUAAUGGUUCUUGAAGCUUAUCAGAAGUACCUUGCACAGAAGCCAUAUGCUGGGAUUCUUUCUGAAAGUAUGAAGCAGGUUUCAUAUUUGGCCAGUAUUGUUCGAUAUGGAGAGACGCCCGAGACCUCAUUUAACCAAUGGGCCUGGAAUUUAAUCUUGAGGCUAAAACUGCACAAAAACGAUUAUGGAAUACAGCAGAAUUGUCCAGCUGUUCCCUUCUCCGUCACUGUGCCUGACAUGACAGAGUCACCCACGUUUCAUCCUCUCUUGAAGGCUGUGAAAGCGGGCAUGCCCAUUGGCUGUUAUCUAGCCUUAUCUAUGACAGCUGUGGGCCACAGCAUUGAGAAGUUCUGUGCAGAAGGCAUCCCACUGUUGGGAAUUCUGGUCCAGUCAAGACAUUUGAGAACAGUGGUCCAUGUCCUGGAUAAGAUUCUACCUUUAUUUUACCCUUGCCAGUAUUACCUUCUGAAGAAUGAGCAGUUUUUGUCGCAUCUCCUCUUGUUCCUACACUUGGACAGCGGUGUCCCUCAGGGUGUCACACAGCAGGUCACCCACAAGGUGGCACAGCACCUUACAGGAGCCAGCCAUGGGGACAACGUGAAGCUUCUCAACAGCAUGAUCCAGGCACACAUAUCUGUAAGCACUCAGCCCAAUGAAGUGGGCCCCGUUGCUGUGUUGGAGUUCUGGGUUCAGGCUCUCAUAAGCCAGCAUCUCUGGUACCGAGAACAACCUAUCCUCUUCCUCAUGGACCACUUGUGUAAAGCAGCUUUUCAGCUGAUGCAGGAAGACUGCAUACAGAAAUUACUCUACCAGCAACAUAAGAAUGCCUUGGGUUACCACUGUGACCGGAGUCUGCUCUCGUCUUUGGUAAGCUGGAUUGUGGCAGGCAACAUCACUCCUUCCUUCGUGGAGGGCUUGGCCACGCCCACUCAGGUCUGGUUUGCCUGGACAGUGCUCAACAUGGAAUCCAUCUUUGAAGAGGACUCCCAGCUCCGGAGAGUUAUUGAAGGCGAAUUGGUGAUAAACUCUGCUUUCACCCCUGACCAAGCUCUGAAGAAAGCCCAGACCCAGCUGAAGCUCCCCAUCGUGCCAUCCCUCCAGAGGCUGCUGAUUUAUCGCUGGGCCCACCAGGCUCUGGUCACACCUUCUGAUCACCCCCUCCUGCCACUCAUUUGGCAGAAGUUCUUCCUUCUGUAUCUUCACCGUCCAGGACCACAGUAUGGGUUACCCAUAGAUGGUUGUAUUGGAAGAAGGUUUUUUCAAAGUCCUGCUCAUAUCAGUUUGUUGAAAGAAAUGAAGAGACGUUUGACCGAGGUGGCUGACUUCCACCAUGCUGCAAGCAAGGCCAUCCGUGUUCCAGCAGAGGGCAGUGAAGGGCUGCCAGAGAGCCACUGUGGCACCCCUGGUUACCUGACUUCACCAGAACUGCACAAGGAGCUGGUGAGGCUCUUCAAUGUAUAUAUAUUAUGGCUAGAAGAUGAGAAUUUUCAAAAAGGAGAUACCUAUAUCCCUUCUCUACCAAAGCAUUAUGAUAUUCACAGGCUAGCAAAAGUGAUGCAGAAUCAGCAGGUGAUACUCUAGCCCUCUUUUUUUUUUUUUUUUUUUUAGCAUAUCUGAAUGUAAUUUGAACUGGUCAUAUUCAUAAUAAAACAAUUUAUUGAU